ensembl:miRNA Mir6899 microRNA 6899
CAGGCAGCAGAACGCAGCGGGCAUGAGAUCCUUUCUGACCAUUGUCCUUCUGUGUCUUCUGCAG